GUGCCAGCCGCCGCGGUAAUACAGAGGUCCCGAGCGUUGUUCUGAUUCAUUGGGCGUAAAGGGUGCGUAGGUGGCAUGGUAAGUCGGGUGUGAAAUCUCAGGGCUCAACUCCGAAAUGGCAUUGGAAACUACCCUGCUAGAGGAUUGGAGGGGGGACUGGAAUGCUUGGUGUAGCAGUGAAAUGCGUAGAUAUCAAGCGGAACACCAGUGGCGAAGGCGAGUCCCUGGACAACUCCUGACACUGAGGCACGAAAGCGUGGGGAGCAAACAGGAUUAGAUACCCUGGUAGUCC
rnacentral:rRNA from 1 species